GGUGAACGCUGGCGGUAGGCCUAACACAUGCAAGUCGAACGGCAGCACAGUAAGAGCUUGCUCUUACGGGUGGCGAGUGGCGGACAGGUGAGGAAUACAUCGGAAUCUACUUUUUCGUGGGGGAUAACGUAGGGAAACUUACGCUAAUACCGCAUACGACCUACGGGUGAAAGCAGGGGAUCUUCGGACCUUGCGCGAUUGAAUGAGCCGAUGUCGGAUUAGCUAGUUGGCGGGGUACAGGCCCACCAAGGCGACGAUCCGUAGCUGGUCUGAGAGGAUGACCGCGAGCAAGGGGACGGAGACACGGCCCAGAGUGCUGAGGGAGGCAGCGGUGGGGAAUAUGGAACAUUGGGCGAAGGCAUGAAGAAGCAGCACCGCGGGAGGGACGACGGCCUUCGGGUUGUAAACAACGUGGAGCGGGGAAGGAGCGAAAGUGACGGUACCUGAAGAAAAAGCGCCGGCUAACUACGUG
rnacentral:rRNA from 1 species